GUGGAAUCUAAUGGAGCCAAUAUAAGGGAGAAAACAAAAUGGGACAGGGAUACUAAUAUAGUGUAGUAUGUCUAUAACAGCAGAGUCAGAAUAUAAGGAAAAAAAUAUAUUGCACUCACACUUUUCUGGAGCUCAAGAUCAGCUCCAGAUCACAGCGUAUGGAUGGUACAAUCCCCGUCUGUGUUGCAUAGUUACAUAGCUGAAAAGAGACUUGCGUCCAUCAAGUUCAGCCUUCCUCACAAAUGUUAUUGCUGUUGAUCCAAAAGAAGGCAAAAAACCUAGUCUGAAGCGCUUCCAAUUUUGCCAC